GACGAAGGGGGCUAGCGUUGUUCGGAAUUACUGGGCGUAAAGCGAGUGUAGGCGGUUGCCCAAGUCAGGUGUGAAAGCCUUGAGCUCAACUCAAGAAAUGCACUUGGUACUGGGUGGCUAGAGGACCGGAGAGGAUAGUGGAAUUCCCAGUGUAGUGGUGAAAUACGUAGAGAUUGGGAAGAACACCAGUGGCGAAGGCGGCUAUCUGGACGGUUCUGACACUAAGACUCGAAAGCGUGGGGAGCAAACAGG
rnacentral:rRNA from 1 species